AUUGAACGCUGGCGGAAUGCUUUACACAUGCAAGUCGAACGGCAGCACGGACUUCGGUCUGGUGGCGAGUGGCGAACGGGUGAGUAAUGUAUCGGAACGUGCCCAGUCGUGGGGGAUAACGUAGUGAAAAUUACGCUAAUACCGCAUACGAUCUAUGGAUGAAAGCGGGGGAUCGCAAGACCUCGCGCGAUUGGAGCGGCAGAUAUCAGAUUAGGUAGUUGGCGGGGUAAAGGCCCGCCAAGCCAACGAUCUGUAGAUGGUCUGAGAGGACGACCAGCCACACUGGAAGUGAGACACGGUCCAGACUCCCACGGGAGGCAGCAGUGGGGAAUUUUGGACAAUGGGCGAAAGCCUGAUCCAGCCAUUCCGCGUGCAGGAUGAAGGCCCUCGGGUUGUAAACUGCUUUUGUACAGAACGAAAAGGUUUCUACUAAAACUAGGAGCUCAUGACGGUACUGUAAGAAUAAGCACCGGCUAACUACGUGCCAGCCGCCGCGGUAA
rnacentral:rRNA from 1 species